rnacentral:rRNA from 1 species
AAACGUCAAAGGAAUUGACGGGACCCGCACAAGCGGUGGAUGAUGUGGUUUAAUUCGAUGCAACGCGAAAACCUUACCCACCUUUGACAUGUACGGAACCCUUUAGAGAUAGAGGGGUGCUCGAAAGAGAGCCGUAACACAGGUGCUGCAUGGCUGUCGUCAGCUCGUGUCGUGAGAUGUUGGGUUAAGUCCCGCAACGAGCGCAACCCUUGUCAUUAGUUGCUACAUUCAGUUGGGCACUCUAAUGAGACUGCCGGUGACAAGCCGGAGGAAGGUGGGGAUGACGUCAAGUCCUCAUGGCCCUUAUAGGUGGGGCUACACACGUCAUACAAUGGCUGGUACAAAGGGUUGCCAACCCGCGAGGGGGAGCCAAUCCCAUAAAGCCAGUCGUAGUCCGGAUCGUAGUCUGCAACUCGACUACGUGAAGUCGGAAUCGCUAGUAAUCGUGGAUCAGAAUGUCACGGUGAAUACGUUCCCGGGUCUU